rnacentral:rRNA from 1 species
GACGAACGCUGGCGGCGCGCUUAACACAUGCAAGUCGAACGGAAAGGCCUGCUUUCCCUUGUGGAUUGCGGGUACUCGAGUGGCGAACGGGUGAGUAACACGUGAGUGAUCUGCCCCCAACUUGGGUAUAAGCCUGGGAAACUGGGUCUAAUUCCCGAUAGGACUGCAGGGUGGUGCCUGUGGUGGAAAACGAUUUUCUAGUGGUUGGGGAUGAGCUCGCGGCCUAUCAGCUUGUUGGUGGGGUAAUGGCCUACCAAGGCGGCGACGGGUAGCCGGCCUGAGAGGGUGGACGGCCACAUUGGGACUGAGAUACGGCCCAGACUCCUACGGGAGGCAGCAGUGGGGAAUAUGGCGCAAUGGGCGGAAGCCUGAUGCAGCGACGCCGCGUGGGGGAUGACGGCCUUCGGGUUGUAAACUCCUUUCGACCGCGAGGAAGCCACCUGGUUGGAAGGGUGGUGACGGUAGUGGUAGAAGAAGCACCGGCUAACUACGUG